UACGGAGGGGGCUAGCGUUGUUCGGAAUUACUGGGCGUAAAGCGCACGUAGGCGGCUUUGUAAGUUAGAGGUGAAAGCCCAGGGCUCAACCCUGGAAUUGCCUUUAAGACUGCAUCGCUUGAACAUCGGAGAGGUAAGUGGAAUUCCGAGUGUAGAGGUGAAAUUCGUAGAUAUUCGGAAGAACACCAGUGGCGAAGGCGACUUACUGGACGACUGUUGACGCUGAGGUGCGAAAGCGUGGGGAGCGAACAGG
rnacentral:rRNA from 1 species